AUGUACAUUCCUACAAUAUUAAUGCACCAGAUCCCAUCAAAACUCCAUAAUUAAGUGCACCUGAGAAAUAUUAUUACUAGGAAGGGUGACCUCUUGGGAAGUCAUAGUGUUUUACAUG
rfam:Picea glauca, whole genome shotgun sequence.